rnacentral:rRNA from 1 species
GAGUUUGAUCGUGGCUCAGAGCGAACGCUGGCGGCAGGCCUAACACAUGCAAGUCGAGCGGCCGUAGCAAUACGGCAGCGGCAGACGGGAGAGUAACACGUGGGAACGCGCCCUUCGGUUCGGAAUAACUCAGGGAAACUUGAGCUAAUACCGGAUACGCCCUUACGGGGAAAGAUUUAUUGCCGAAGGAACGGCCCGCGUCGGAUUAGCUAGUUGGUGAGGUAAUGGCUCACCAAGGCGACGAUCCGUAGCUGGUCUGAGAGGAUGACCAGCCUCACUGGGACUGAGACACGGCCCAGACUCCUACGGGAGGCAGCAGUGGGGAAUAUUGGACAAUGGGCGCAAGCCUGAUCCAGCCAUGCCGCGUGGAUGAUGAAGGCCUUAGGGUUGUAAAGUCCUUUUAACGGGGAAGAUAAUGACGGUACCCGUAGAAUAAGCCCCGGCUAACUUCGUGCCAGCAGCCGCAGU